rnacentral:rRNA from 1 species
GAGUUUGAUCCUGGCUCAGAAUGAACGCUAGCGAUAAGCUUAACACAUGCAAGUUGAACGCUGUUUAAUUUUUUAUCAAAACAGAGUAGCGAACGGGUGAGGAACACGUAAGAAUCUACCUCGUAAACCAAGGAAAGAUUUUUCUGAAUCUUGGAUACUAUUCUAGAAUUUUCUCAAUUUAUUAUUUCAAUAAUUAAUUAGAAUUUUAGAAAAGAAAAGUGAGUAAACGUUACGAGAUGAGCUUGCGUAGGAUUAGGUAGUUGGUAGGGUAAGAGCCUACCAAGCCCAAGAUCCUUAGCUGGUCUGAGAGGAUGAUCAGCCACACUGGGACUGAGACACGGCCCAGACGCUUUCGAGCGGCAGCAGUGAGGAAUAUUGGACAAUGGGCGAAAGCCUGAUCCAGCUAGAUCGCGUGGGUGAUGAAGACUGUAUUGGUUGUAAAGCCCUUUACUUAAAUAAAGAUUAUGACAAAGUUUAAGAAAAAAGUCCCGGCCAAUCUCGUGCCAGCAGCCGCGGUAAUACGAGAGGGGCAAGCGUUAUUCGGAAUGAUUGGGCGUAAAGAGCACGUAGACUGUUUAGAAAAUCCAACAUAAAAAAAUCAAAGCUUAACUUUGAAACUUAUUUUAGAUCGUGGAUAAAAAUGUCUUUUUGUCACUGAUUUCUAAACUGGAGUGAGUAAGAGGAGAAUGGAAUUCCUGGCGUAGAGGUAAAAUUUGUUGAUAUCAGGAGGAACACCAAAAGCGAAGGCAAUUCUCUGGUACUCUACUGACGUUGAGGUGCGAUAGCGUGGGGAUCAAAAGGGAUUAGAUACCCCUUUAGUCCACGCCGUCAACGAUGACCUUUCUAUGAAUAGUAAAAUCCUUAGUUUGCAUUAGGUGAAAUUCACUUUUUUUUUAAGGAAAAAAAAGUAAAUUCUUUGUAAUUACCAAAAUUGAAAAAUUUUUUGUAAGUACAGUUUUAGAAAAAAAUUCAUUUUUAAUACUAAAAAACCUUUUGUAAGAGGGUUUUAACGUUUAUAUUAGCUAACGCGUUAAAUGGUCCGCCUGAGGAGUACGGUCGCAAGACUAAAACUCAAAGGAAUAGACGGGGGCUCACACAAGUGGUGGAACAUGUGGUUUAAUUCGAAACAACGCGCAAAACCUUACCAGUCCUUGACAUAAUCUUUUCACAAUUUCUUUUUAUUCUGAAAUAAUUCAGUAAGUUUUUUCUUAAUACUGAAGUGAAGAUUACAGGUGUUGCAUGGCUGUCGUCAGUUCGUGUUGUGAAAUGUUGGAUUAAUUUCCUUAACGAACGAAACCCCUCUUUUCAUUCAAAAUCUCAUUUCUUUCAAAAUUGAACUAAUUAUGAAAGAAAUUAGAUGAGUUUUUAAAUGAAAUUACAGCUGGUGAUAGACUAGAGGAAGGGAGGGAUCACGUCAAGUCCUCAUGACCCUUAUGGGCUGGGCUACACACGUGUUACAAUGGUGAAUACAAAAAGGAGCAAUGAUGAAAAUCGGAGCAAAUCUCAAAAAAUUCACCCUAGUUCAGAUUGUUCUCUGCAACUCGAGAACAUGAAGCCGGAAUCACUAGUAAUCGUGGAUCAGCACGCCACGGUGAAUAUGUACCUGAGCCUUGUACUCCCCGCCCGUCACAGGCCUGAAAUUCGUAGUGUGGGAAGUCUCGAAACUAUCAAGAAGACUUCAUGAUACCUUGAUGGUAUCUUACGAUCUUCUAAAAAAGACGAGCCGAACAUAAGAUGAGUAACGGGCUUGAAGUCGUAACAAGGUAGCCGUAGGGGAACCUGCGGCUGGAUUAA